rnacentral:rRNA from 1 species
AUUGCACGCUGGCGGCAGGCCUAACACAUGCAAGUCGAACGGAGCGGCUGCCGGGUGAGGAAUGCCUAGGAAUCUGCCUGGUAGUAGGGGAUAACGUCCGGAAAAGGGCGCUAAUACCGCAUACACUCAGAUGUGAAUAGGUCGGAUUAGCUAGUGGGUGGGGUAAAGGCCUACCAAGGCGACGGUCCGUAACUGGUCUGAGAGGAUGAUCAGUCACACUGGAACUGAGACACGGUCCAGACUCCUACGGGAGGCAGCAGUGGGGAAUAUUGGACAAUGGGCGAAAGCCUGAGCCAGCCAUUCCGCGUGUGUGAAGAAGGUCUUCGGAUUGUAAAGCACUUUAAGUUGGGAGGCGUGACCAACAGAAUAAGCACCGGCUAACUUCGUGCCAGCAGCCGCGGUAAUAC